AAUUGGUGCGGUGGCCAUUUUGGAGGCUGCCGCACAUGCUCAAAUGGCCUCUGUGAGGCCUGGCAAGGUUUAAAGCCUCUCAGGGACCAUUUGAGCAUGUGCAGUAGCCAUUUUGUUUUUGGCGUUGCACAUGCUCAGUAAUCCUAUAAGCAGGCCAACAUCCCCAUUUGUUAUUCCUUUGUUGCAGAUAGGAAAUUUGCUGGAAGAAAGUCUAACUUAGUGGCAGAGUCCUGGACAGUGGAAUAUGGGGCAACUGAAAUAAGUUGAGAGGGCAGAGAUGUGGAUACUUUUCAUGGAUGGGAUUCAGAAGGAAAUCCUGUCCAUGACAACUGCUAGGCUAGUUAGAUGUUAGGCUAAACAUCUAAGCUUGGACACCUUUUGGAACCACACAAGAGAGACCUACCUCUUUGAACUGGCCUGUGGAAGCAAGUGUGAAACUGGAAAAGGUUAAGAAUAUCAUGUAACACCUUUGGGAUGCACAUGGGAGAUGGCGCUGUAGCUCAGUGAAAGAGCAUCUGCUUUAUAUAUGGAAGAUCCCAAGUUCAAUCGCUGGCAUCUCCAGAUAGGAGAGACUCCUGCCUGAAACCCUGGAAAGCCUCUGCCAGUCUGUGAAGACAAUACUGAGCUAGAUGGACCAAUGGUCUGACUCUGUACAAAGCAGCUUCCUGUGUUCCUAUGUUCACAUAUGCAGCUGCCAUAAAGACAUUGUGCUGUUUUUGUUUUCCACCAUGUACGAGAAUUAAAUCAUUGAUUGGAAUUAAAGUUUCCCUUUUAAGGACUCAGAAGAGACUUUCACUCUCUAAUUAAGACAAUGCAUCUCCUCAUCUUCUCAGGGGAAGAACAUAUGGUAUCCGCUUUCUGGAUGUUCCGGAUGGGAGGAGAACAGCACACUUGCAACUUCAGCACUCACACCCUUCUCCUCCUCCUUUGUUAGAUCCUUCAUUCAUCGGUCUUUUCUUAUUUUCCAUAACAAAUUUCUUUCCUGUUCCUUUGCUUGUCAAUCUUCAGAGAGAAAAUAAAAAUGCAUUUAUCAGCUA